rnacentral:rRNA from 1 species
GAUGAACGCUGGCGGCGUGCCUAAUACAUGCAAGUCGAGCGAACGGACGAGAAGCUUGCUUCUCUGAUGUUAGCGGCGGACGGGUGAGUAACACGUGGAUAACCUACCUAUAAGACUGGGAUAACUUCGGGAAACCGGAGCUAAUACCGGAUGAUAUUUUGAACCGCAUGGUUCAAAAGUGAAAGACGGUCUUGCUGUCACUUAUAGAUGGAUCCGCGCUGCAUUAGCUAGUUGGUAAGGUAACGGCUUACCAAGGCAACGAUGCAUAGCCGACCUGAGAGGGUGAUCGGCCACACUGGAACUGAGACACGGUCCAGACUCCUACGGGAGGCAGCAGUAGGGAAUCUUCCGCAAUGGGCGAAAGCCUGACGGAGCAACGCCGCGUUAGUGAUGAAGGUCUUCGGAUCGUAAAACUCUGUUAUUAGGGAAGAACAUAUGUGUAAGUAACUGUGCACAUCUUAACGGUACCUAAUCAGAAAGCCACGGCUAACUACG